rnacentral:rRNA from 1 species
CCUACGGGAGGCAGCAGUGGGGAAUAUUGGGCAAUGGGCGCAAGCCUGACCCAGCAACGCCGCGUGAAGGAAGAAGGCUUUCGGGUUGUAAACUUCUUUUCUCAGGGACGAAGCAAGUGACGGUACCUGAGGAAUAAGCCACGGCUAACUACGUGCCAGCAGCCGCGGUAAAACGUAGGUGGCAAGCGUUAUCCGGAUUUACUGGGUGUAAAGGGCGAGUAGGCGGGACUGCAAGUCAGAUGUGAAAACUACGGGCUCAACCUGUGGCCUGCAUUUGAAACUGUAGUUCUUGAGUACUGGAGAGGCAGACGGAAUGCCUAGUGUAGCGGUGAAAUGCGUAGAUAUUAGGAGGAACACCAGUGGCGAAGGCGGUCUGCUGGACAGCAACUGACGCUGAGGCGCGAAAGCGUGGGGAGCAAACAGGAUUAGAUACCCGAGUAGUC